rnacentral:lncRNA from 1 species
AAUAACUUUGUAGAUUACUUGGGGAAUCAUGAAGUUUCAUUUGUAAAGCUGUUCCUACAUCAAAAGAGAUGUAAGAAUGAGACAGAUAUCUAUAUCUAUAUAUAGAUAUGUGUAGAAGUUUAUGGAUGUGUUGAAGAAAGAAUGAAGAUAAAAAGAAUGUUUUCCUGAGUGAAUUGUAUAAGAAUUUGAAGGAAUUGAGGAGCUAAAGAGCAUGUGCGCACAGAUAUGAAAAUGAUAAAAUUAAAUUUUCACUUCAUCUUAAAUCUUCAUCAUUUUACUUCAGUUGGCACUUAAUUUCUGAGCAUAUGCUAUGUGCCAGUCACCAUGUGUCAUGGCUAUGAGGG